UUUCAGAUGACAUAAAGGUAGGCAGACGAUGUAAUAGAGCAGCAGGAAAUGCUAGCAGAAUGCUUGGUUGUAUAGGGAGAGGUAUUAGCAGUUGAAAGAGGGAAGUGCUCAUGCCAUUGUACAGAACACUGGUGAGACCUCACUUGGAGUAUUGUACGCAGUACUGGAGACCGUAUCUCCAGAAGGAUAUUGAUACUUUAGAGAGAGUUAAGAGAAGGGCUACUAAACUGGUUCAUGGAUUGCGGGAUAAAACGUACCAGGAAAGGUUAAAGGAUCUUAACAUGUAUAGCUUGGAGGAAAGACGAGACAGG